AGCGAACGCUGGCGGCAGGCCUAACACAUGCAAGUCGAACGAACCUUUCGGGGUUAGUGGCGGACGGGUGAGUAACACGUGGGAACGUGCCUUUAGGUUCGGAAUAACUCAGGGAAACUUGUGCUAAUACCGAAUGAGUCCUUCGGGGGAAAGAUUUAUCGCCUUUAGAGCGGCCCGCGUCUGAUUAGCUAGUUGGUUGAGGAAAUGGCUCACCAAGGCGACGUUCAGUAGCUGGUCUGAGAGGAUGAUCAGCCACAUUGGGACUGAGACACGGCCCAAACUCCUACGGGAGGCAGCAGUGGGGAAUACUGCGCAAUGGGCGAAAGCCUGACGCAGCCAUGCCGCGUGAAUGAUGAAGGUCUUAGGAUUGUAAAAUUCUUUCACCGGGGACGAUAAUGACGGUACCCGGAGAAGAAGCCCCGGCUAACUUCGUG
rnacentral:rRNA from 1 species